rnacentral:rRNA from 1 species
UACGGAGGGUGCGAGCGUUAAUCGGAAUAACUGGGCGUACAGGGCACGCAGGCGGGCUUUUAAGUGAGAUGUGAAAUCCCCGGGCUUAAACUGGGAAUAGCAUUUCAGACUGGGAGUAUAGAGUACUUUAGGGAGGGAUAGAAUUCCACGUGUAGCGGUGAAAUGCGUAGAGAUGUGGAGGAAUACCGAAGGCGAAGGCAGCCCCUUGGGAAUGUACUGACGCUAAUGUG